rnacentral:rRNA from 1 species
GAUGAACGCUGGCGGCGUGCUUAACACAUGCAAGUCGAACGGAGUGAAUGAAACGGAAGUUUUCGGAUGGAAGAUUCAUUGACUUAGUGGCGGACGGGUGAGUAACGCGUGGGUAACCUGCCGUAUACAGGGGGAUAACACUUAGAAAUAGGUGCUAAUACCGCAUAAGCGCACAGUGUCGCAUGACACAGUGUGAAAAGCCUCGACGGUAUACGAUGGACCCGCGUCUGAUUAGCUAGUUGGCGGGGUAACGGCCCACCAAGGCGACGAUCAGUAGCCGGUCUGAGAGGAUGAACGGCCACAUUGGGACUGAGAUACGGCCCAGACUCCUACGGGAGGCAGCAGUGGGGAAUAUUGGGCAAUGGGGGAAACCCUGACCCAGCAACGCCGCGUGAAGGAAGAAGGCUUUCGGGUUGUAAACUUCUUUUAGCAGGGACGAAGGACGUGACGGUACCUGCAGAAAAAGCAACGGCUAACUACGUG